CAGAGAGAGAGAGAGAGAGAGAGAGAGAGAGAGAGAGAGAGAGAGAGAGAGAGAGAGAGAGAGAGAGAGAGAGAACGCAGAGGGAGGGAGGCAGGGAGGGAGACCAAACCCCCGCUUUACUGCGUUGAAGCUUCUGAAUUUCAAGCAGAAAGUAGAAGGAGCUCCAAACGGCAGGGCGCGUUCUGGGGUCUCUGCGCAAGACCAUCUCUCAGCUCUCUCUCCCUUCCUCGGACUCUGGAGUGGGAGCGGGCCUUUCCCUCGGGCGGACCACACCGUAGGGGACGCCGUGAAAAGAGCCGUCGCGCCCGCCACCUCCUGCCCGCUGCGCAGAGGGCUCCGCCCGUAGAGUCGUCUUCCUUGAAACAGAAAUGUAAGGUCCUCAGACGCGGAUCUCAGCACAGACUUGGUCACCAAAGGGAUGUGCAAAGGACGAAAGUGUGGGCCUCGAGACUUAAACAGAAAGGGGUGGCCGGAGACCCACCAGUUUGA
rnacentral:lncRNA from 13 species